AAUCAACGCUGGCGGCGUGCCUCAGACAUGCAAGUCGAACGCGAAAGUCCCCUUCGGGGGGCGAAGUAGAGUGGCGCACGGGUGAGUAACACGUAGGUAAUCUACCUUUGGAUGGGGAAGUAAACAACCGGAAACGGUUGCUAAUACCGCAUAAUGCAGCGGCACCUAAUGGUGACAGUUGUUAAAGCGGGGGAUCGAAAGACCUCGCGUCUGAAGAGGAGCCUGCGGCGGAUUAGCUAGNGGUAAGGUAACGGCUUACCAAGGCAACGAUCCGUAGCCGGCCUGAGAGGGCGGUCGGCCACACUGACACUGACAUACGGGUCAGACUCCUACGGGAGGCAGCAGUCGGGAAUUUUGGGCAAUGGGCGAAAGCCUGACCCAGCAACGCCGCGUGAAGGAU
rnacentral:rRNA from 1 species